rnacentral:misc_RNA from 1 species
UGCAGACACAUGUUCUGGGUCAAAGAGGGUGGCCGGCUAGACUCGGUCUUAAUUCAGUUACCUAGCUGUUGUCUGAUCUUAAUAGGACUUCUUGGGGGUGGUUUGAUCUGAACAUAAUAUGGGCUCAACCAAAAUCUGUCUUCCCUAAGGGGAGUCAAUCCAUAUUUAUAGGACUAGGGAACCAAUCUUCGCUUGACACGUGUAAAGUUCUAGCAAGUGGCCUGUCUCAGUCAUUGAUAUUCAUUCCGGUGUCAAAUCAGGUGCCUCUGUAACACUGACAACCUUGACAAGCUUGGUUGGUGGUAUCUAGUUUGUCCAUCCGAUUGGUGUGUUUACCUGUUCGACCCGUUCGUGAAAUAGGUAUGUUCGACGACUUGUUGAUAUUGUUGAUUUUUCCCAAAACAGGUCGGAGGGUCGAAG